GUAUUAAAAAUGAAAGAAUGGAUAAAAGAAAAAAUGACAUAUUUACCCCUUGUUGUUGAGCACCUCUCUCUUUCUUUCUCUCUCGCUUAGUUGUUGUUGAGUUUUGCUUUUCUUCUAUUUUUCCCAUCCUAUGCCA
rnacentral:ribozyme from 1 species